UGAUACUUAGCGGCGGACGGGUGAGUAACACGUAGGCAACCUGCCCUCAAGCUUGGGACAACUACCGGAAACGGUAGCUAAUACCGAAUACUUGUUUUCUUCGCCUGAAGGAAACUGGAAAGACGGAGCAAUCUGUCACUUGGGGAUGGGCCUGCGGCGCAUUAGCUAGUUGGUGAGGUAACGGCUCACCAAGGCGACGAUGCGUAGCCGACCUGAGAGGGUGAUCGGCCACACUGGGACUGAGACACGGCCCAGACUCCUACGGGAGGCAGCAGUAGGGAAUCUUCCGCAAUGGGCGAAAGCCUGACGGAGCAAUGCCGCGUGAGUGAUGAAGGUUUUCGGAUCGUAAAGCUCUGUUGCCAGGGAAGAACGCUUGGGAGAGUAACUGCUCCCAAGGUGACGGUACCUGAGAAGAAAGCCCCGGCUAACUACGUGCCAGCAGCCGCGGUAAUACGUAGGGGGCAAGCGUUGUCCGGAAUUAUUGGGCGUAAAGCGCGCGCAGGCGGUCAUGUAAGUCUGGUGUUUAAUCCCGGGGCUCAACCCCGGAUCGCACUGGAAACUGGAUGACUUGAGUGCAGAAGAGGAGAGUGGAAUUCCACGUGUAGCGGUGAAAUGCGUAGAGAUGUGGAGGAACACCAGUGGCGAAGGCGACUCUCUGGGCUGUAACU
rnacentral:rRNA from 1 species